rnacentral:lncRNA from 1 species
UAUAUAUCACCCACCCAUCAGCCUCUUCCUUCCGAGGAAUUCUAUAUUGUCACACUUGCACCACGUCAUCAAUAACAAGCCAACCAUAUUUCUUUUUUUAAAUAAAAGUAUAAUAAAAAUAAUUUUUUAUAAUCAUGAUAGAACAUAUAUUUUUAAAAUGAGAUAUUUGAUUGGUUUGUUACGCCACAUAACCAAUAUACCUGUUGCAUUCUAGAAUUUUUCCUUCCUUCCACACCUAGCUAGCUAGAUCUCUUA